rnacentral:rRNA from 1 species
AGAGUUUGAUCCUGGCUCAGGACGAACGCUGGCGGCGUGCUUAACACAUGCAAGUCGAGCGGUAAGGCCUUUCGGGGUACACGAGCGGCGAACGGGUGAGUAACACGUGGGUGAUCUGCCCUGCACUCUGGGAUAAGCUUGGGAAACUGGGUCUAAUACCGGAUAUGACUACAGCAUGCAUGUGUUGUGGUGGAAAGAUUUAUCGGUGCAGGAUGGGCCCGCGGCCUAUCAGCUUGUUGGUGGGGUAAUGGCCUACCAAGGCGACGACGGGUAGCCGACCUGAGAGGGUGACCGGCCACACUGGGACUGAGACACGGCCCAGACUCCUACGGGAGGCAGCAGUGGGGAAUAUUGCACAAUGGGCGGAAGCCUGAUGCAGCGACGCCGCGUGAGGGAUGAAGGCCUUCGGGUUGUAAACCUCUUUCAGCAGGGACGAAGCGUGAGUGACGGUACCUGCAGAAGAAGCACCGGCUAACUACGUGCCAGCAGCCGCGGUAAUACGUAGGGUGCGAGCGUUGUCCGGAAUUACUGGGCGUAAAGAGUUCGUAGGCGGUUUGUCGCGUCGUUUGUGAAAACCCGGGGCUCAACUUCGGGCUUGCAGGCGAUACGGGCAGACUUGAGUGUUUCAGGGGAGACUGGAAUUCCUGGUGUAGCGGUGAAAUGCGCAGAUAUCAGGAGGAACACCGGUGGCGAAGGCGGGUCUCUGGGAAACAACUGACGCUGAGGAACGAAAGCGUGGGUAGCAAACAGGAUUAGAUACCCUGUAGUCCACGCCGUAAACGGUGGGCGCUAGGUGUGGGUUCCUUCCACGGGAUCUGUGCCGUAGCUAACGCAUUAAGCGCCCCGCCUGGGGAGUACGGCCGCAAGGCUAAACUCAAAGGAAUUGACGGG